UUUAGUCCAAGCCUAUCUUUUAUAUAACUGUUCAUUUCAAAGGCUAGAGUCCCAAGGGUAGAGAGUGUGUUCCAGCCACACUGACAUCCCAAAGCCAGUCCUCCCUCACGCCCUGAGUUCCUCAGGCUAGCUAUAGUUCCAGUUUGCAUAUCUUGGCCUGUAUCUUUUUCCUAUACCAGAGAUGGGGAAGGGGCUCAGCCCUCAGGUUUGGGCAAAGCCAAAGCCUUGUUCUUUCUGAGAAGAACAGGGCAUUUCUUCAACAUAUGGGUGCUGAGGCCACGCUGUUGCUUAAAGCUAGCUCCACACUC
rnacentral:lncRNA from 1 species